rnacentral:rRNA from 1 species
AGGCGACCUGCACAGGUGCUGCAUGGCUGUCGUCAGCUCGUGUCGUGAGAUGUUGGGUUAAGUCCCGCAACGAGCGCAACCCUUAUCCCCAGUUGCCAUCAGGUAAAGCUGGGAACUCUGGGGAGACUGCCGGUGAUAAACCGGAGGAAGGCGGGGGAUGACGUCAAGUCCUCAUGGCCCUUACAUCCCGGGCUACACACGUGCUACAAUGGCAGGUACAGAGGGCUGCGAAGCCGCGAGGUGGAGCGAAUCCCAGAAAACCUGUCUCAGUCCGGAUUGAAGUCUGCAACUCGACUUCAUGAAGGCGGAAUCGCUAGUAACCGCGAAUCAGCAGGUCGCGGUGAAUACGUUCCCGGGCCUU